rnacentral:rRNA from 1 species
CCUAACACAUGCAAGUCGAACGGUAACAGGAAACAGCUUGCUGUUUCGCUGACGAGUGGCGGACGGGUGAGUAAUGUCUGGGAAACUGCCUGAUGGAGGGGGAUAACUACUGGAAACGGUAGCUAAUACCGCAUAACGUCGCAAGACCAAAGAGGGGGACCCUCGGGCCUCUUGCCAUCGGAUGUGCCCAGAUGGGAUUAGCUUGUUGGUGGGGUAACGGCUCACCAAGGCGACGAUCCCUAGCUGGUCUGAGAGGAUGACCAGCCACACUGGAACUGAGACACGGUCCAGACUCCUACGGGAGGCAGCAGUGGGGAAUAUUGCACAAUGGGCGCAAGCCUGAUGCAGCCAUGCCGCGUGUAUGAAGAA